AUUGAACGCUGGCGGCAUGCCUUACACAUGCAAGUCGAACGGCAGCACGGGAGCAAUCCUGGUGGCGAGUGGCGAACGGGUGAGUAAUAUAUCGGAACGUGCCCAGUCGUGGGGGAUAACGUAGCGAAAGCUACGCUAAUACCGCAUACGAUCUAAGGAUGAAAGCGGGGGAUCGCAAGGCCUCGCGCGAUUGGAGCGGCCGAUAUCAGAUUAGGUAGUUGGUGAGGUAAAGGCUCACCAAGCCGACGAUCUGUAGCUGGUCUGAGAGGACGACCAGCCACACUGGGACUGAGACACGGCCCAGACUCCUACGGGAGGCAGCAGUGGGGAAUUUUGGACAAUGGGCGCAAGCCUGAUCCAGCAAUGCCGCGUGCAGGAUGAAGGCCU
rnacentral:rRNA from 1 species